rnacentral:rRNA from 1 species
AUCCACUACAAUCUUACAAAACAUAACUAAUCAAAAUAAUAUAAAAUCAAUCCAAUUUCAAACAAAAAAUUAAUGAGUACUAUAAAGGAAAUAAAAUUUUUAACUUAAAGUAGUGAUAUUUCACGUACCUUGUGCAUUAUGGUUUUACAAGCCAAAAAUUUAAAAUUCUAUCCCGAAUCCUACGCGAGCUGUUCAUCUAUAGCUAAGAGCCCACUACUAGUUGUAGCACCAACUUUAGAAAAUACCUGAACAGAGGCUACAUACCAUGCGCGCUAGAACAUUGCUGGUUUUCAGCUAAAUUUAUAAAUUAAUACAUAUAAUAAAAUUAUACUGUAAGAUUUCAGAGGAUAAGCCCUGUAAUCCUAAGCCAAUAUUCACAUAUUAAACUACGUAGGCUUAAAACCAGCCAUCAACAAUACUUUACCGUAUAAUACCUUUAAUAAAUUAUAUCCUGUGCCACAUAAAGCUGAAAUUUAAGAAAAACUAAAAAUCUUAAACUAAUCUGUAAAAAUAAGUAUUAGUAAAUCACCUAAAUUCUCCUCAUGAACCUCCUAAUUUACCACCCAUAUAACACUUAUAAGGGAACUCGGCAAUAUAUUU